rnacentral:rRNA from 1 species
UACGUAGGGUCCGAGCGUUGUCCGGAAUUAUUGGGCGUAAAGGGCUCGUAGGCGGUCUGUUGCGUCGGGAGUGAAAACUUACAGCUUAACUGUGAGCGUGCUUUCGAUACGGGCAGACUUGAGGCAUUCAGGGGAGAACGGAAUUCCUGGUGUAGCGGUGAAAUGCGCAGAUAUCAGGAGGAACACCCGUGGCGAAAGCGGCUCUCUGGAACGGUACUGACGCUGAGACGCGAAAGCGUGGGGAGCGAACAGG